rnacentral:rRNA from 1 species
AGAUUGAACGCUGGCGGCAUGCCUUACACAUGCAAGUCGAACGGCAGCACGGGAGCAAUCCUGGUGGCGAGUGGCGAACGGGUGAGUAAUACAUCGGAACGUGCCCAAUCGUGGGGGAUAACGCAGCGAAAGCUGUGCUAAUACCGCAUAAGAUCUACGGAUGAAAGCAGGGGAUCGCAAGACCUUGCGCGAAUGGAGCGGCCGAUGGCAGAUUAGGUAGUGGUGAGGUAAAGGCUCACCAAGCCUUCGAUCUGUAGCUGGUCUGAGAGGACCGACCAGCCC